UACAGAGGUCUCAAGCGUUGUUCGGAUUCAUUGGGCGUAAAGGGUGUGUAGGCGGCGCGCUAAGUCGGGUGUGAAAUUUCGGAGCUUAACUCCGAAACUGCAUUCGAUACUGGCGUGCUUGAGGACUGGAGAGGAGACUGGAAUUCAUGGUGUAGCAGUGAAAUGCGUAGAGAUCAUGAGGAAGACCAGUGGCGAAGGCGGGUCUCUGGACAGUUCCUGACGCUGAGACACGAAGGCCAGGGGAGCAAACGGG
rnacentral:rRNA from 1 species